GGGAAGCUGUAGCCGGAGUUAUUGCUGGUUUCUGUACUUCCAUAAUGACAGUAAUUCUUUUUGCACUCCUACGGAAGUUGUUUUCUUGCAUCUAUCAACUUUCUGUGGUGAGAAGGUUUACUCUGCCAUUUAAUAAAGUCCGUUUAAGGAGAGUUUGUUUCCUGCUAGCUUAUGUGUCAUUUACUAGUUGGUUGGCCGUUCAAUAUUUCAGACGGAUUGGUCUCCCUGAAAUAGCAGUUUACUAUAGCAUGUAGCACUCAUUUUUGUAGAAGUGCUAGAGCGUGUUGGCAGUUCAAGUUGAAAUAUGAAAUUGUGUAAUAUCUUUGUACCAGUAGACACAGUUUUCACAUAGCGUUUCUACCAUAUGUUGUAAUCUAGUUCCUUGUGUACAGAAAAAACUGCAGGAAUAAA
rnacentral:misc_RNA from 1 species